rnacentral:lncRNA from 1 species
GGGCAGUAGGAAACUUUCUGAGACACACCUUUAAAAUUAGUUAUAAUGUGUGCUAUGUUUACAGAUCUUAGUUUUGAAGACCAACAACACAACAAUACUUCCAGAUCUCCAUCUAACCUCUGCUUAUUUGAGAGGGGCUUUGUAUUUUCAACAGGAGAGUUCAAAGUUCAUUUUUUUUCCAGCAACUAUAGUUCUAAGUGAAAUAAUCUAUUGUUAUUGAGACGUGAUAUUUUACAUAUUUAUGGGAUACCCAUGAGUCAUGAUCUAUUUUAAGUAAUACCUUAGUGUUGUAAAAUCAGCAGUACUUUUAAAAAUAAAUGUACGUUGUUAAUUAUCCCACUUGUGUCAUCAGAACUACAGCUUGAACAAGUCCACCUUCCAUGGACCAAGCACCACCCUGCACAUUUCUAGCAUGAGCAAAAUCCAAGGUCCUGGCUGGACUCCAGAGAUGCUGUUUACCUCAGAAGUAUGACAAUAGGAGGCAGAAGAAGCAGGCAAAUCCAACUUCUUUCUUGCAGUUUUCUUGGUUGGGGAGGAAAAGUUGAAUUUUACUAUUAUGGAGAAGAAACAGGAAAUAGAGACAGGCCAAGCACAUCUGCAAAAAAGAUAUUGCUGGAGGAGGUGCAAGAGCUGGAAACCAAGUUUCCUGUCCUGGGAAAAGCAGUGGUGUGGAAGAGCAGUGGAAAGAGGAUUUAAUAAAUCGUCAUGUGCUAGGAGCUGUGCCUGGGAGCUGGCAGUAUGGAGUUGAUGAAGGAUAGGCUAAUGUGGAUGGGAAAGGUAUAAGUAAAUUUUACUGUAUAAAAAUAAAUUUUGUAGAAGAAUAUAUAAAGUGUUGGGGGGGACAUAGAGGAGGAAGAAUUUGCAUCCUUAUUUUUAAGUUAAUGUUUUUAUUUC